GACGAACGCUGGCGGCGUGCCUAAUACAUGCAAGUAGAACGCUGAAGGAGGAGCUUGCUUCUCUGGAUGAGUUGCGAACGGGUGAGUAACGCGUAGGUAACCUGCCUGGUAGCGGGGGAUAACUAUUGGAAACGAUAGCUAAUACCGCAUAAUAGCAGUUGUUGCAUGACAACUGUGUGAAAGGUGCAAUUGCACCACUACCAGAUGGACCUGCGUUGUAUUAGCUAGUUGGUGGGGUAACGGCUCACCAAGGCGACGAUACAUAGCCGACCUGAGAGGGUGGUCCGCCAAACUGGGACUGGGACACGGCCCAGACUCCCACGGGAGGCAGCAGGAGGGAAUCUUCGGCAAUGGACGGAAGUCUGACCGAGCAACGCCGCGGGAGGGAAGAAGGUUUUCGGAUCGUAAAGCUCUGUUGUAAGAGAAGAACGAGUGUGAGAGUGGAAAGUUCACACUGUGACGGUAUCUUACCAGAAAGGGACGGCUAACUACGUG
rnacentral:rRNA from 1 species